CUUGACGACCAUAGAGCGUUGGAACCACCUGAUCCCAUCCCGAACUCAGUAGUGAAACGAUGCGAUCCGCCAUGGUAGUGUGGGGUUUCCCCAUGUGAGAGUAGGUCAUCGUCAAGC
rnacentral:rRNA from 1 species